GGAGACAGCUAGGCUGACAGGGACACCUGAAGCAAAUCAGGUGCUGGCUGAAACUAGUUAAAAACCUCCCAGUUAGUGAGAUGGGUGUGCAUGUCAGGAACUGUGGGAGGAAGUUGUGCUGUUGGAGAGACUGAGUAAUACACAGCAUAUCAGGUACAAGGAAGGAGGCCCUGAGAAGCCUUGUUUGCUGAAACCAUUUCCACAUAUUGAUCUAUGAGAGGACAUUAUACAUCAUCCGGGGAAGAGUGGAGCUGAACAAAGUUGUUAACACAGGUUGCCAGACAUGGACUGAAGCCAUCCCUGAGAGGAUGUGAAACUGAACAGGCAAACAAUGAGUGAUUUACAUCAACCACAAGUCCACUAUUCACGAGGACGCUGCAAGCCAUUCUUUUGAAAAGCUGUUCUAAUGAAUGGGAUUCAUACCUCUAAAAUAAACCAAAGAGGGAUCUGCCAACAUCUUUCCAGAAUAAUCCUUGGUAUCAAAUGUUGAAUAUAUGGAGUCUUUCAGCAUAUCAAUUCGACCAUGGGAUGUAAAUAUUAGAAAUAGUAUAAAAUGUAUAUGGUAACUUCUGUCUAUUAUUGGAGACAGCUGAAAAGCGUGCUUGUUUUUCU